ACAGCCAUGUCAUGUUAAAACACCAGUUCUCAUACAAUCACUGAAGUUAAGUGACGUUGAGUUUGGUCAGUAUCGAGGUGGUUGACCCCUUGGGAAUAUUAGGUGCU